CGCACCUUGCGCUCCUUGGUAUUCCGAGGAGCAUGCUUGUUUGAGUGUCGUGAAAUUAUCAAACUCAUAUUUCUUUUUUGAAAUAUGAGCUUUGGAGUUGGGGACUUGCGGGGACUUGUCUCGGCUUCCCUUGAAUGCAUUAGCUGGACUUGAAAAAAGUAGCAUAUAUGCGGUGUGAUAAUGUCGUCACUGUGUAGUUACUUCUCAACUAGCUUUCUAAUUGUCCUUGUGAAGGGACACUUUGAUCAAUUUGACCUCAAAUCAAGUAGGACUACCCGCUGAACUUAA
rnacentral:misc_RNA from 1 species